rnacentral:rRNA from 1 species
UUGACGGGGCCCGCACAAGCGGUGGAGCAUGUGGUUUAAUUCGAAGCAACGCGAAGAACCUUACCAGGUCUUGACAUCCCCUGACAACCCAAGAGAUUGGGCGUUCCCCUUCGGGGGACAGGGUGACAGGUGGUGCAUGGUUGUCGUCAGCUCGUGUCGUGAGAUGUUGGGUUAAGUCCCGCAACGAGCGCAACCCUCGCCUCUAGUUGCCAGCAUUCGGUUGGGCACUCUAGAGGGACUGCCGGCGACAAGUCGGAGGAAGUGGGGAUGACGUCAAAUCAUCAUGCCCCUUAUGACCUGGGCUACACACGUGCUACAAUGGGCGGUACAAAGGGUCGCGAACCCGCGAGGGGGAGCCAAUCCCAAAAAGCCGCUCUCAGUUCGGAUUGCAGGCCGCAACUCGCCUGCAUGAAGCCGGAAUCGCUAGUAAUCGCGGAUCAGCAUGCCGCGGUGAAUACGUUCCUGGGCCUU